rnacentral:rRNA from 1 species
GACGAACGCUGGCGGCGUGCCUAAUACAUGCAAGUCGAGCGCAGGAAGCUGACGGAACUCUUCGGAGGGAAGGCAGUGGAAUGAGCGGCGGACGGGUGAGUAACACGUAAGGAACCUGCCUCAAGGAUUGGGAUAACUCCGAGAAAUCGGAGCUAAUACCGGAUAGUUCAACGGACCGCAUGGUCCGCUGAUGAAAGGCGCUUCGGCGUCACCUUGAGAUGGCCUUGCGGUGCAUUAGCUAGUUGGUGGGGUAACGGCCCACCAAGGCGACGAUGCAGAGCCGACCUGAGAGGGUGAUCGGCCACACUGGAACUGAGACACGGCCCAGACUCCUACGGGAGGCAGCAGUAGGGAAUCUUCCACAAUGGACGAAAGUCUGAUGGAGCAACGCCGCGUGAGUGAUGAAGGUUUUCGGAUCGUAAAACUCAGUUGUAAGGGAAGAACACGUACGAGAGGGAAUGCUCGUACCUUGACGGUACCUUACGAGAAAGCCACGGCUAACUACGUGCCAGCCGCCGCCGUAACAC